rnacentral:rRNA from 1 species
AUAUUAUCGAAUUUCGAGGGGGGGAAAGAUGCGGAGUGGGCACUGUCGCUGGCCUCUCGUGCUCGAGGGGCAUGUGCACGUCUUACUUUUCGUCGACCUCCUUCUCUCACCCACACACCUGUGCACCCGUUGUAGGUCCUCGAAAGAGGAUCUAUGUUUUUCACAUCACACCCCUAUCGUAUGUCUACAGAAUGUAUUGAAAACGUCGGUCGUGUUGACGCACGGCCGGUGUCGAAAUAAAUCAUACAACUUUCAGCAAUGGAUCUCUUGGCUCUCGCAUCGAUGAAGAACGCAGCGAAUUGCGAUAAGUAAUGUGAAUUGCAGAUUUUCAGUGAAUCAUCGAAUCUUUGAACGCACCUUGCGCUCCUUGGUAUUCCGAGGAGCAUGCCUGUUUGAGUGUCAUUGAAUUCUCAACCAUGCCUUGAUUGACUUCGACGCAUGGCUUGGAGUUGGGGGGUUGCUGGCGGCGAAAUGCUGGUCGGCUCUCCUGAAAUGCAUUAGCAAAGGACGGCAAGUCUUUUUGACGUGCACGGCCUUCGACGUGAUAAUGAUCGUCGUGGCUGGACCGUCGGAAGCGUGCAUGAAUCGUUCUUUGCUUCCAAUCACAAUCCCCUAGCUCGAGCGAGCGAGCUGCUUUCAGCUACUAGUCGGUCGUGAGGCCAACGAACG